UAAUACGAAGGUGGCAAGCGUUAUUCGGAUUUACUGGGCGUACAGGGAGCGUAGGCGGUUCGGUAAGCCCUUUGUGAAAUCUCCAGGCUUAACCUGGAAAAGUCGGAGGGGACUGCCGGGCUAGAGGACGGGAGAGGAGCGCGGAAUUCCCGGUGUAGCGGUGAAAUGCGUAGAGAUCGGGAGGAAGGCCGGUGGCGAAGGCGGCGCUCUGGAACGUUUCUGACGCUGAGGCUCGAAAGCGUGGGGAGCAAACAGGAUUAGAUACCCUGGUAGUCCACGCCUUAAACUAUGAAUACUAAGUGUCGGCGGGUUACCGCCGGUGCCGCAGCUAACGCAUUAAGUAUUCCGCCUGGGAAGUACGGCCGCAAGGUU
rnacentral:rRNA from 1 species